UUUAUUACUUUGUUUAAUCUUCAAUCCCUGAGAAAUCCAAUGGUUUUUAUUUUUAUUUUUUAAUUUUCUUUACUAAGUCAACAUUCCACAAAGUGUACUCUAUGAGUCAGACAACCAGGGCCAUGUGGUAAUCAUGUCCUGGACGUCUUUUCAGACCCUAGCUAUUGAAAAUGGGCCUUCUGGGUAUCUCUACUCCUCCGAUCCCUAGCUCUUCAGUCUGUGUAUAAUUAAGCACUGCAGGAGAAGCAAAAGAAUUGGCCUGUGCCACCCAUGUAGUAUGGGAAUGGGAGCCCACAACACUGUGACAGUUCUCUGGGUCUUCUUGGGGUGGGGGUAGGCGGUCCACUGUGGGAGUUUCAGGGUGAAGAAGCUGAUGGGAUCUGAGGAAGUGUGAGGUCCAAGUUUUAUCCAGGACAUGCCUAGAGAGAAAUGGGAAAACCUAUGGGUCAGCAGUAGUUUUGGUAGUUUAAGGAAGAGG
rnacentral:lncRNA from 1 species